UACGUAGGUGACGAGCGUUGUUCGGAAUUAUUGGGCGUAAAGGGUUCGUAGGAUGUUUAUUAAGAUUGGUGUGAAAUCCCAAGGCUCAACCUUGGAACUGCAUUGAUUACUGAUGAACUAGAGUAUCGUAGAGGAAAGCGGAAUUCCAGGUGUAGCGGUGGAAUGCGUAGAUAUCUGGAAGAACACCGACAGCGAAGGCAGCUUUCUGGGCGAUAACUGACUCUGAGGAACGAAAGCAUGGGGAG
rnacentral:rRNA from 1 species